rnacentral:rRNA from 1 species
GACGAACGCUGGCGGCGUGCUUAACACAUGCAAGUCGAGCGGUAAGGCCCUUUCGGGGGUACACGAGCGGCGAACGGGUGAGUAACACGUGGGUGACCUGCCCUCAGCUCUGGGAUAAGCCUGGGAAACCGGGUCUAAUACCGGAUAUGACUCCAUGACGCAUGUUGUGGGGUGGAAAGCCUUGUGCGGCUGAGGAUGGGCCCGCGGCCUAUCAGCUUGUUGGUGGGGNGAUGGCCUACCAAGGCGACGACGGGUAGCCGGCCUGAGAGGGCGACCGGCCACACUGGGACUGAGACACGGGCCCAGACUCCUACGGGAGGCAGCAGUGGGGAAUCUUGCGCAAUGGGCGAAAGCCUGACGCAGCGACGCCGCGUGA